UACGGAGGGGGCUAGCGUUGUUCGGAAUUACUGGGCGUAAAGCGCACGUAGGCGGCUUUGUAAGUUAGAGGUGAAAGCCCGGGGCUCAACUCCGGAAUUGCCUUUAAGACUGCAUCGCUAGAAUUGUGGAGAGGUAAGUGGAAUUCCGAGUGUAGAGGUGAAUUUCGUAGAUAUUCGGAAGAACACCAGUGGCGAAGGCGGCUCACUGGACUGGUAUUGACGCUGAGGUGCGAAAGCGUGGGGAGCAAACAGG
rnacentral:rRNA from 1 species